rnacentral:tRNA from 1 species
GUCCCUGUAGCGCAAUGAAUAGCGCUUUGGACAUCUAAUCCAAAGGUCGUGGGUUCAAUCCCACCUGGGAUG